rnacentral:rRNA from 1 species
GAUGAACGCUAGCGGGAGGCCUAACACAUGCAAGCCGAGCGGUAUUGUUUCUUCGGAAAUGAGAGAGCGGCGUACGGGUGCGUAACACGUGUGCAACCUGCCUUUAUCUGGGGGAUAGCCUUUCGAAAGGAAGAUUAAUACUCCAUAAUAUAUUGAACGGCAUCGUUUAAUAUUGAAAGCUCCGGCGGAUAGAGAUGGGCACGCGCAAGAUUAGCUAGUUGGUGAGGUAACGGCUCACCAAGGCGAUGAUCUUUAGGGGGCCUGAGAGGGUGAUCCCCCACACUGGUACUGAGAAACGGACCAGACUCCUACGGGAGGCAGCAGUGAGAAAUAUUGGUCAAUGGGUGCACGCCUGAAUCAGCCAUCCCGCGUGACGGGCGACUGCACUAUGGGUUGUAAACUUCUUUUGUAUAGGGAUAAACCUACCCUCGUGAGGGUAGCCGAAGGUACUAUACGAAUAAGCACCGGCUAACUCCGUGCCAGAAGCCGCGGUAAAAC